rfam:Actinobacterium acMicro-4 AMD-COM-C17, whole genome shotgun sequence.
GGGGAUGAUCGGUUUCGACAUUGCUUGUGAUUCCAUAGAGAAGCGGGUCGAGAAUGCAGAGUUAUCUCGUUAACGUCCUCUGUAACCUAUAGGUGCCAAUACAAAGCGCACCGACUUCGCUCUCGCUGCCUAAGCAGCGGACAAGUCCGUCAGACUGAGCUCGCCUUCGGCUCAACCACUGGCGUCGUUUAGACGGCUUGCUUGUGACCUGUGUUUCAGGGGUCACCGGGACUUUUUCUGAGACUGGGCUCGUCGCUUUAGAUGCUUGUGGCAAAAGGCGGAGCCGAGUAGAACGUUUUCACAAGCUACACCCGUAGAAGGCUGUGGUACGAAGUAGUGGACCCGGGUUCGAUUCCCGGCAUCUCCACCA